UUAGCAUGAGAUGAUUCAUUUCUUCCUGAGAAGCCCAGAUCUUAGUCACAGGGACAGCUCUGACAAGCUGCAUCUCCUCCUGGUAUGGUUCCAGCUACACUGCCUGAGAUACACUGGAGUCAAUGUAGCUUGUUUACUUCAGGUGUGAAGCUCUGACAGUAAGAGGUACUUAUUUUUGUGGAGCUGUAAAAGUUUCCUUGGUGUUGCCAAAACCCAAUCUGCAAGCAACACACCAGGUAUUUUGGAAACAAACAAACAAACAAAAAACAGCUUGCAAACCAGACCCCUGAGGCCUGCAAAACACAAGAGCUCCAGAAUUAUUCUCAUCUUCUGUUCACCAAUUGUUGCUUCCUUGUCCUAACUAUUGUACCUCUGAAAGGGAAAUACAAAGCACCCAGCCGGUGGAGAUGUACGCUGUAGCGUCUCUUAAUGCCCCGCAU